rnacentral:snRNA from 1 species
GUGCUUGCUUUGGCAGCACAUAUACUAAAAUUGGAAUGAUGCAGAAAAAUUAGCAUGGCCCCAUUAGGAUGACAGGCAAGUUCAUAAAGCAUUCCAUAUUUUU